rnacentral:rRNA from 1 species
GACAGAGGUGCCAAGCGUUAGGCGGAAUCACUGGGCUUAAAGCGUGUGUAGGCGGAGCGGUAAGUGUCUUGUGAAAUCCCACGGCUCAACCGUGGAACUGCUGGACAUACUGCCGUUCUUGAGCCACUUAGGGGCUAGUGGAACAAAUGGUGGAGCGGUGAAAUGCGUAGAUAUCAUUUGGAACGCCAAUGGUGAAAACAACUAGCUGGGAGUGAGCUGACGCUGAGACACGAAAGCCAGGGGAG